UGAGGAAUAUUGGUCAAUGGACGCAAGUCUGAACCAGCCAAGUAGCGUGCAGGAUGACGGCCCUAUGGGUUGUAAACUGCUUUUAUGUGGGAAUAAAGUGGCGCACGUGUGCGCCAUUGCAUGUACCUCAUGAAUAAGGACCGGCUAAUUCCGUGCCAGCAGCCGCGGUAACACGGAAGGUCCGGGCGUUAUCCGGAUUUAUUGGGUUUAAAGGGAGUGUAGGCGGUCUGUUAAGCGUGUUGUGAAAUUUAGGUGCUCAACAUUUAACUUGCAGCGCGAACUGUCAGACUUGAGUACACGCAGCGCAGGCGGAAUUCAUGGUGUAGCGGUGAAAUGCUUAGAUAUCAUGAGGAACUCCGAUCGCGAAGGCAGCCUGCGGGAGUGUUACUGACGCUUAAGCUCGAAGGUGCGGGUAUCGAACAGG
rnacentral:rRNA from 1 species